rnacentral:rRNA from 1 species
CGCUAGCGACAGGCUUAACACAUGCAAGUCGAGGGGCAGCACAGGUAGCAAUACCGGGUGGCGACCGGCGCACGGGUGAGUAACGCGUAUGCAACUUGCCUAUCAGAGGGGGAUAACCCGGCGAAAGUCGGACUAAUACCGCAUGAAGCAGGGGCCCCGCAUGGGGAUAUUUGCUAAAGAUUCAUCGCUGAUAGAUAGGCAUGCGUUCCAUUAGGCAGUUGGCGGGGUAACGGCCCACCAAACCGACGAUGGAUAGGGGUUCUGAGAGGAAGGUCCCCCACAUUGGUACUGAGACACGGACCAAACUCCUACGGGAGGCAGCAGUGAGGAAUAUUGGUCAAUGGCCGAGAGGCUGAACCAGCCAAGUCGCGUGAGGGAUGAAGGUUCUAUGGAUCGUAAACCUCUUUUAUAAGGGAAUAAAGUGCGGGACGUGUCCCGUUUUGUAUGUACCUUAUGAAUAAGGAUCGGCUAACUCCGUGCCAGCAGCCGCGGUAAUACGGAGGAUCCGAGCGUUAUCCGGAUUUAUUGGGUUUAAAGGGUGCGUAGGCGGCCUUUUAAGUCAGCGGUGAAAGUCUGUGGCUCAACCAUAGAAUUGCCGUUGAAACUGGGGGGCUUGAGUAUGUUUGAGGCAGGCGGAAUGCGUGGUGUAGCGGUGAAAUGCAUAGAUAUCACGCAGAACCCCGAUUGCGAAGGCAGCCUGCCAAGCCAUUACUGACGCUGAUGCACGAAAGCGUGGGGAUCAAACAGGAUUAGAUACCCUGGUAGUCCACGCAGUAAACGGUGAUCACUAGCUGUUUGCGAUACACUGUAAGCGGCACAGCGAAAGCGUUAAGUGAUCCACCUGGGGAGUACGCCGGCAACGGUGAAACUCAAAGGAAUUGACGGGGGCCCGCACAAGCGGAGGAACAUGUGGUUUAAUUCGAUGAUACGCGAGGAACCUUACCCGGGUUUGAACGCAUUCGGACCGAGGUGGAAACACCUUUUCUAGCAAUAGCCGUUUGCGAGGUGCUGCAUGGUUGUCGUCAGCUCGUGCCGUGAGGUGUCGGCUUAAGUGCCAUAACGAGCGCAACCCUUGCCACUAGUUACUAACAGGUAAAGCUGAGGACUCUGGUGGGACUGCCAGCGUAAGCUGCGAGGAAGGCGGGGAUGACGUCAAAUCAGCACGGCCCUUACAUCCGGGGCGACACACGUGUUACAAUGGCGUGGACAAAGGGAGGCCACCUGGCGACAGGGAGCGAAUCCCCAAACCACGUCUCAGUUCGGAUCGGAGUCUGCAACCCGACUCCGUGAAGCUGGAUUCGCUAGUAAUCGCGCAUCAGCCAUGGCGCGGUGAAUACGUUCCCGGGCCUUGUACACACCGCCCGUCAAGCCAUGGGAGCCGGGGUACCUGAAGUCCGUAACCGAAAGGAUCGGCCUAGGGUAAAACUGGUGACUGGGGCUAAG